CGGGUGAGUAACGCGUGGGUAACCUGCCUCAUACAGGGGGAUAACAGUUAGAAAUGACUGCUAAUACCGCAUAAGCACACAGUACCGCAUGGUACAGUGUGAAAAACUCCGGUGGUGUGAGAUGGAUCCGCGUCUGAUUAGCCAGUUGGCGGGGUAACGGCCCACCAAAGCGACGAUCAGUAGCCGACCUGAGAGGGUGACCGGCCACAUUGGGACUGAGACACGGCCCAA
rnacentral:rRNA from 1 species